CUUUAGCCCCGAUGGGAGCGGCAUCUUUUCUGGCUGGCUGGCACGCCAUGGCGGACAGUCAGCCAGAAAAAUACAGCGGACAGCGGGAACAUGG
rnacentral:sRNA from 1 species